rnacentral:rRNA from 1 species
GUGCCAGCAGCCGCGGUAAUACGUAGGGGGCUAGCGUUAUCCGGAAUUACUGGGCGUAAAGGGUGCGUAGGUGGUUUUUUAAGUCAGAAGUGAAAGGCUACGGCUCAACCGUAGUAAGCUUUUGAAACUAGAGAACUUGAGUGCAGGAGAGGAGAGUAGAAUUCCUAGUGUAGCGGUGAAAUGCGUAGAUAUUAGGAGGAAUACCAGUAGCGAAGGCGGCUCUCUGGACUGUAACUGACACUGAGGCACGAAAGCGUGGGGAGCAAACAGGAUUAGAAACCCCGGUAGUCC